rnacentral:rRNA from 1 species
AACGUACCCAUAGCACGGGGAUAGCUCACCGAAAGGUGGGGUAAUACCCGAUUACAUCAUUGAUACAUAAGUAUUUUUGGUCAAAGGUAGGGAUCCUUCGGGACCUUCCGGUUACGGAGCGGUCAUGUUUUAUCAGCUAGUGGUGAGGUACGUCCACCAGCUACGACGGAUACCGGGACUGAGAGGUUGACCGGCGCCUUGGGACUGAGACACUGCCAGACUCUACGGGAGGCUGCAGUAACGAAUAUUCCACAAUGGACGAAAGUCUGAUGGAGCAAUGCGCGUGCAGGACGAAGCGUUUCGGCGUGUAAACUGCUGUCAGGGACUAGCAAGCGAAUGGGGUUAAUAGCCUUGUAGUUGAGCCGUCCCAGAGGAAGCCACGGCUAACUUCGUGCCAGCAGCCGCGGUAAUACGAAGGUGGCAAGCGUUGUUCGGAAUCACUGGGCUUAAAGCGCAUGUAGGCGGCGAUGAAAGCGUCGAGUGAAAUCCCACGGCUCAACCGUGGAACUGCUCGGCGAACUACAUUGCUUGAGGCAGGUAGGGGUGCGUGGAACUCUUGGUGGAGCGGUGGAAUGCGUAGAUAUCAAGAGGAACGCCAGCGGCGAAAGCGGCGCACUGGGCCUGUCCUGACGCUGAGAUGCGAAGGCUAGGGUAGCGAACGGGAUUAGAUACCCCGGUAGUCCUAGCAGUAAACGAUGCCUACUGGAUCGGAGGUCUUCUGACAGAGUUCCGGUCGUAACAAAAGCGUUAAGUAGGCCGCCUGGGGAGUACGGUCGCAAGGCUAAAACUCAAAGGAAUUGACGGGGGCUCACACAAGCGGUGGAGCAUGUUGCUUAAUUCGAUGCAACGCGAAGAACCUUAUCCUGGGCUUGACAUGCUUGGAUACCCUCCUGGAAACAGGUCGGGUUGCCCUUCGGGGUGAAACUUGCACAGGUGCUGCAUGGCUGUCGUCAGCUCGUGUCGUGAGAUGUCGGGUUAAGUCCCUUAACGAGCGAAACCCUUGUCGUUAGUUGCCAACACGUAAUGGUGGGGACUCUAGCGAGACUGCCGGUGUUAACCCGGAGACUUGGGAUGACGUCAAGUCCUCAUGCCUUAUGCCCAGGCUGCCAACGUGCUACAUGCUGGUACAGACCGAGGCAAUGCCCGAGGUUGAUCCAAUCGGAGAAAGCCCGGCUCAGUUCGGAUUGAAGUCUGCAACUCGACUUCAUGAAGUUGGAAUCGCUAGUAAUCGCGGAUCAUCAAUGCCGCGGUGAAUGUGUUCCUGAGCCUUGCACACACCGCCCGUC